rnacentral:rRNA from 1 species
GGAGGGUGUAAGCGUUAUUCGGAAUUAUUGGGCGUAAGAGCACGUAGGCGGGUUUUUAAGUCAGAUGUGAAAGCCCGAGGCUUAACCUCGGAAGUGCAUUUGAAACUAAGAGACUUGAGUAUGGGAGAGGGAAGUGGAAUUCCUGGUGUAGAGGUGAAAUUCGUAGAUAUCAGGAGGAACACCGGUGGCGAAGGCGACUUCCUGGACCAAUACUGACGCUGAGGCGCGAAGGCGUGGGGAGCAAACAGGAUUAGAUACCCUGGUAGUCCACGCAGUAAACGGUGAACACUAGGUGUAGCGGGUAUUGACCCCUGCUGUGCCGAAGUUAACGCAUUAAGUGUUCCGCCUGGGGAGUACGACCGCAAGGUUA